rfam:Loxodonta africana unplaced genomic scaffold scaffold_8, whole genome shotgun sequence.
GCAUUAGUGGUUCAUUGGGAGAAUUCUUGCCUUCCAUGUGGGAGCCCUGGGUUUGAUUCCUGGCCAGUGCA